rnacentral:misc_RNA from 1 species
AAGUCGUAACAAGGUUUCCGUAGGUGAACCUGCGGAAGGAUCAUUAUCGAGUUUUGAAACGGGUUGUAGCUGGCCUCUCCGGAGGCAUGUGCACGCUCUGCUCAUCCACUCUACACCUGUGCACUUACUGUGGGUAUUGGAAGGCGUCGCGCCGUUUCUUACGGUGAGGCGUUAACCGUGCCUACGUUUUACUACAAACGCUUCAGUAUCAGAAUGUGUAUUGCGAUGUAACGCAUCUAUAUACAACUUUCAGCAACGGAUCUCUUGGCUCUC